AUUGAACGCUGGCGGCAUGCUUUACACAUGCAAGUCGAACGGUAACAGGCCUUCGGGUUCUGACGACUGGCGGCCGGUGGCGUACUGCAUCGGAACGUGCCCAGAGGUGGUGGUUAACGCGGCGAAAGCUGGGCUAACAUCCCCUGAGAUCUGAUAAUGAAAGCGGGUGACCGAGCGGCAUCGUUUGGCCUCGCGCCUCUGGAUGGGCCGAUGUCGGAUUAGGUAGUUGGCGGGGUAAAGGCCCACCAAGCCGACGACCCGUAGCUGGUCUGAGAGGAUGAUCAGCCACACUGGAACUGAGACACGGUCCAGACUCCUACGGGAGGCAGCAGUGGGGAAUUUUGGACAAUGGGCGCAAGCCUGAUCCAGCCAUGCCGCGUGGGGGAAGAAGGCCUUCGGGUUGUAAAGCCCUUUUGUUGGGAAAGAAAAGCAGCUGGCUAAUACCCCGCGGUGAUGACGGUACCGAAAGAAUAAGCACCGGCUAACUACGUG
rnacentral:rRNA from 1 species